CGGUGCCAGUGCUUCAGUAGGCACAUGGUGCAAUUGCUGCAGCUGCUGAAGUUGCUGCAGGUGCUGCUGUUGCAGCUGUUGCUGCUGCUGCAACUGUUGCUGCUGAAGUUGCUGCUGCUGAAGCUGUUGUUGCUGCAAUUGCUGCUGCUGUUGAGCUUCCUGCAAUUGCUGCUGCUGCUG